UCUGCGCGUGAGGUAAAGUAAGGUAAGUAAGGCAAGGUAAGGAAAGGAAAGGUAAAGAAAGCUGUUCAUAGUUCAGCAUCACGUGGAGAGCGAGAAAGAGAGGAGACAGGUGUUCCUAUUAGUAGUGAUGUUUGACAAUACUGGCAGGACCCGGCAAGGUGAUACACUCUCUCAGUCCCGCGUUGUUUGCUGUGUUGUUAAUUGACGGUGAUAAAAGUCGGUUCGCGGUACUCUUGUUACGGUCUUGCAAAUGGUGUUGUAGUUGUGUAGUGAUAUUUGUUUGUUAUGGUUGUGUGGUGAAUAAUUGUAGUUUGUGUAUAUUUGGUGGUUCGCUCCCGCUCAUUUGUUUCGUUCCCUCUGGAUCGCUCGUUUCGGAUUCGCUUCGCACGUCUCGGUUAUAAAAAGUGACGUAGGUAGCUGAUUCAAACUUUCAAAGGUUUAAGCAAUAAGCAUUCGCACCCUGCCUUUCCUGCAGACACCACCUCCAACCUCUUUCCUCGCGUGUUGUCUGCUGCCAGGUACUCUGCGUCGGUAUCAGUGAGCAUCCUCACCAACCAAGUAUACCGGUGCCACUAAUGGAGAGAAUAAGAGGGGCUUCAUCUGCCACUCCGCGCUACCUGUGCACUCAGGUGGGCCGGCAGGUAGAGCCCCGCCCAACACCAAGAUGGAGGAGGAGCAGGGGAGGAGGCAGGAAGAGGAGGAAGGGAGGAGACAGAGGAGGAGUUCUCGCUGCGAUAGAAAACGAACACCUUGACACGGACACUGUUGUAAACUCUUACGCAGGAGGGACGUUGACUUGGAUGUUAUUUGUUGACUGUCACUGUACGAUUUAACGUGAACGUCUUCAGAGACAUA